rnacentral:tRNA from 1 species
GGAGGCGUGCCGGAGUGGUUGAACGGGUCAGUUUCGAAAACUGAUAAGCCAGAAAUGGUUUCGAGGGUUCGAAUCCUUCCGCCUCCGCCA